rnacentral:lncRNA from 1 species
GCAGAGCCCUGGUUCUGCCAGACCUGGCUUCCAAAGUUCCUGCCUGGUGUCUUCCAUAUGUCCUCUCUACCCAGGAUCUAGUAGGCCCGGCACUAAGGAAAGCCCUGGAGCAGGCUGACUCCUAAACUUGAUGCCAGGCCCUGAAGAUUUGGCUAUACAGGGUGGGAUGUGUGAAAGCCACAUAGUCCCAUACACACCAGCUCCAAGGAUUCUGGAAUUUCAGUGGCAUAAGGAGGAGCAUGCCAGGUGAUACCAUGGCCUCUGUUCUGCAGGUGUUAAGACGGGCUUCAAUCAGACCCAGGAAAAGCCAGAUGUGUCUUUCCCACUGAGUACUGUGAGCAGGGGCAGGAAUAUCCUGAGCACAAUGUGUUCCAGUUUUUGCCAGGAGUGGGAACCUAC